rnacentral:lncRNA from 1 species
AAAAGAACCAUAGUUUCGUUAAACUAUGCACUAGUUAAUUAUAUUUUUGAAAAUUCUCAUUUAAUUAUUGGAGUUUAUUGGUUUUAGGAAAGAAGAAAAUAAAAAGAGGAAUGAAAAGCGAAGAUAAAAGGUGGAAUGUAAAUAAAGAAUAGAACAGUAAAAUGGUAUCGACACACAAAUAAAGAAUUUACUUUUUCCUCCAAAGAAAACAAAAGAAUACAAAAAAAGAACAAAAAAAGCCUUAUUUACCAUUUACCACUUUUGAUUUUAUUUGUUUUUCAGUUUUUUUUCCCUUAUUUUCUCUGUCCAUUUUCUUUACGAUUUGCUUCUCUUCUCCUUUCUUAACCUAAGUUCCGCUAGCCCCCCAU